CGCGAAAGUAGUUGAGCUAAAUAAUUAUAAUUAUUAGAUUAACAUAUGUAACAUAAUAAAGUUAAAUAAUUACUUAGGGGUGAUAGGCUAAUCAAAUCUACAGAUAUCUCGGUAUGUUUAAAAAACAUUAAGUGUUGUGUCAAUCAAUUAGUGAUAAGGCUACUUGAAAGCAUGAAAUAAGAUAUUAAAUUAUAUCCUGAUUUAACCGUCAGAUAUUUCUUUAAAAUACUAUUUUUGUAUUCUAGAUUAUGUAAAUUAAAAAGUAACGUCCUAAUUAAAUGAAUUGUUUAAAAUGUCACUAUUAGUAAAUUAAUAGAUAUUUAAAAUGAACUCGGCAAAUUAUCUUUCAACUGUUUAUCAAAAACAUAGCUAUGUGAAAUUAUUCAUAGUAAUUUCUGCUCAAUGAACAGUUAAAUAGCCGCAGUACCCUGACUGUGCAAAGGUAGCGUAAUAAUUUGGCUUUUAAUUGAAGUCCUGUAUGAAUGAAAUAUUGGAGGAUAUCUUUAUUUUUGAUAUUAAUUGAAAUUACUUAUUAAGUGCAAAUACUUUUAUAUAAAUGAUAGACGAGAAGACCCUAGAAAUUUAAAUUAAAUAAACUUUAUCUUUUUGUUGGGGCAACAAGGUAACAUUAAAUUUACCGUUUUGUACAUGAACAUUUUAUGUGGGAGACUAAAUUACUCUAGGGAUAACAGCGUUAUUUUAAAAAGUUUGCGACCUCGAUGUUGGACUAGGAAAUUUUUGCUUAGAA
rnacentral:rRNA from 1 species